CCUACGGGUGGCAGCAGUGGGGAAUAUUGCACAAUGGGGGAAACCCUGAUGCAGCGACGCCGCGUGAGUGAAGAAGUAUCUCGGUACGUAAAGCUCUAUCAGCAGGAAAGAAAAUGACGGUACCUGACUACGAAGCCCCGGCUAACUACGUUCCAGCAGCCGCGGUAAUACGUAGGGGGCAAGCGUUAUCCGGAUUUACUGGGUGUAAAGGGAGCGUAGACGGCGCUGCAAGUCCGGAGUGAAAACCACGGGCUCAACCUGUGGCCUGCAUUUGAAACUGUGUUUCUUGAGUACUGGAGAGGCAGACGGAAUUCCUAGUGUAGCGGUGAAAUGCGUAGAUAUUAGGAGGAACACCAGUGGCGAAGGCGGUCUGCUGGACAGCAACUGACGCUGAGGCGCGAAAGCGUGGGGAGCAAACAGGAUUAGAUACCCCUGUAGUC
rnacentral:rRNA from 1 species